AUGGUGGAAGAACAAGGCCUGC
rnacentral:miRNA from 1 species